AGUCGUAACAAGGUUUCCGUAGGUGAACCUGCGGAAGGAUCAUUACCGAGUGCGGGCCUCGCGGCCCAACCUCCCACCCUUGUCUCUAUACACCUGUUGCUUUGGCGGGCCCACCGGGGCCACCUGGUCGCCGGGGGACGCACGUCCCCGGGCCCGCGCCCGCCGAAGCGCUCUGUGAACCCUGAUGAAGAUGGGCUGUCUGAGUACUAUGAAAAUUGUCAAAACUUUCAACAAUGGAUCUCUUGGUUCCGGCAUCGAUGAAGAACGCAGCGAAAUGCGAUAAGUAAUGUGAAUUGCAGAAUUCCGUGAAUCAUCGAAUCUUUGAACGCACAUUGCGCCCCCUGGCAUUCCGGGGGGCAUGCCUGUCCGAGCGUCAUUUCUGCCCUCAAGCACGGCUUGUGUGUUGGGUGUGGUCCCCCCGGGGACCUGCCCGAAAGGCAGCGGCGACGUCCGUCUGGUCCUCGAGCGUAUGGGGCUCUGUCACUCGCUCGGGAAGGACCUGCGGGGGUUGGUCACCACCAUAUUUUACCACGGUUGACCUCGGAUCAGGUAGGAGUUACCCGCUGAACUUAAGCAUAUCAAUAAGCGGAGGAA
rnacentral:misc_RNA from 1 species